UACAGAGGGUGCAAGCGUUAAUCGGAAUUACUGGGCGUAAAGCGCGCGUAGGUGGUUUGUUAAGUUGGAUGUGAAAUCCCCGGGCUCAACCUGGGAACUGCAUUCAAAACUGACAAGCUAGAGUAUGGUAGAGGGUGGUGGAAUUUCCUGUGUAGCGGUGAAAUGCGUAGAUAUAGGAAGGAACACCAGUGGCGAAGGCGACCACCUGGACUGAUACUGACACUGAGGUGCGAAAGCGUGGGGAGCAAGCAGG
rnacentral:rRNA from 1 species